rnacentral:tRNA from 1 species
GGGGUUGUAGUUCAGUGGUAGAGCGUUUGCCUUGCAUGCUUAAGACACUGGGUUCUAUCCUCAGCACCA